GAACUCUUAACUUUUACUGCAGCUCUCCAUAAUAGACCGUGAUAACAUCGCCCUCUGACAGGGUCGCAUGUUUUCGAAGAGUGGUUUCGAGGAUAGCUUUAUGGUUAGGAAGGUCGGAGAAGCCCACUGAAUGAGUUGUUUUCAUAUCUUGAUUUUCGCUGGAGUUAGAAGUUGAGGGACCUCCUUCAUUAACUUUGGACAACCUAAAGUACAUAGGACCUUUAUACAGGGCCCCUUGAUCAGAUAGUUCUUUGAAGCAAGAAGGCGGUAGCUUGAUCUUGUCUCCAGAACCAUCAUAUGGAAGGGCUUCAAAUAACCUUGAAAAGACAAUCCCGUUGCCUAGAAGCAUGUUUUCUUCCAUCUGUUGGUCUGCCUGUCAAAUAGACCAAACAUUAAUAACCUCACAAGAGCACGACUACUGAUAAGUAAGAUCUAUCUAAUAUUGGCCAGACAAAAUGGGAACAAGAAAAGGCACAAAAUCCCCCAUACUUAAUUAAACUGCUGAGUUUGUUUAAGUUGCAAACUUGCAAUCUUUUCAAUUAUCUUACAAUAGAGAAAUAGCAGCAAAUACUUAAGGCUAUGGAUCAACAGUAGAAAAAUAUAUGCUAACAGAGCACAGAAGCCUGGAGAAACAUCAACAAGUACUAUCAUUCAUUCUAGAUGCCGUACGUUCUGAAGCAUCAUUUACAUAUUGAGGCUGUAAUUCAAUUGCAGUUAAGAGAAAGAUCAACAGGUACUACAAUUUUCUUUUUCUUUUUCCCAGUUCUAGAUGUCUUACGCUCUAAAGCAUUAUUUAAAUACUGAGGCUGUAAUUCGAUUGCAAUUAAUAGAAAUAAGGUCAGGGAUCUUUCUUCAAGUACUUAAUGGCGAUGGACCAAUGAGUAAGAAUUCAAUAUAACCUCAAUUUUCUCUUCUUUUUUUUUUUGAGGAAACAGGGAUAUACCCUAUUUGUGUAAGCAAUACAUUUGUCACAGCCUAGCUGCUGUAUCCUAAAAUCCCAAAAAAUCAAAAAAAAAACUAUGGCUAGGAGCAACAAAACAGUAGAGAACAAAGCUAAACAAAGUAAGAAAGCUUUAGAAGGGCUAAAGAACUAAGCUCUAAAUAGUCUCCAAUCACUCUCCAAACACAGAUAGCCAAAGUGUCACCGAACUGAUGGCUCUCCUACUAGUCUCUUCACUUCGGCUAAGUUGAUCGUUGAAGAUACGCAUGUCACCGAACUGAUGGAUGAAAUUAGAGGAUAGAGCAAUAUUGGGUAGGAGGGUUUAGCGACUCAAAUGCAUUAGGGGUUGCGAAAGGGGAGCAGGUCAAAUAAUCCCACUAGGCUGGGAAUAUUGAUCCCACCCAAGAGGUUAGGACUGGGAUUAAACAAGAUUGAAUCCAGAAAUUCUGUUGUAUCCACUGGACCAAGCCCUAGCGCGAACCUUAGCACUACCAAGUUGUUAAAACAACGCUCUCCUCCGACAUAACUCUCUAGUCUUAUUCUAUUCAAUCAAAUCUUGAGCAUGAUAAAAGGGCCUUAAGACGCGGUAUCUCAUGAAGAAGUCACUAUUAACACAGCAGACAUACCUUAACAGUGAAAAGGACGCUUGUGUCAAACACUUGCUGCCCAGCAGUAACCUUUAGCCCAUCUACAAACCCAGCACAGGGCAGACCUGCAAUCUGCAAUCUGCAGUGGCCAUAGUCAGAGAUGCCUGAGGCAGAGAAAUUAUUAUAUACAUUAUAUUCAGAUGCUUCAAUAUAAAGCAAACAGCAUGAAAUUGUUCACGAUACAAAAAUAUAUCGAAAGUGCAUCAUUCUGGAAGUACAUUCUCUACCUCAAGAUUAUACAAGACAACUGUUAGUUGGCAUCAGUUAGAAAUUUAUAUACCACGUCUUCAAUCAAAAUUGUAGCAUUGCUAAGACAAACAAUAAGACGUUGUGAGAUACGACUAUACAAGAAUUACAAUCCAUCUAUUAUUACUAUGCAACAGUGCUCGAUCGUUGGCAUCAAGCAGCUGGAACUUACAAGAAAAUGCUAAAUAAACUUGAUGACAAUAUCUUGAUCUGAUACUCAUACAAAAGCAACUAGACAUGUCACAUGCACCUGAAAGUUUAACAAGCAGCUCUUUAGUUUGACCAAUGCAGCAUUGCGAGUUUCGCCCCACACCACAAGCUUAGCAAUCAUUGGAUCAUAAUGCAUGCUGGUAGUAUCUCCUUCCUCUGCUCCCGUUUCGACUCUCACUGUUUUACAAUAUGUAGAUUAGGGGUCAUUGUUGAGUCAUGGAAGACGUCGAGUUCUAGAUGUGUACUGGCUUUAUUAGCUAAUACUACCUAAUGUGUGUAGCAAUAAGCAUAUGUACUAUGUUUCAGUAGCAGAUAUUACCUGUUGGGGUAACAGGGACUGGCCGGUAGUAGUGUAGGGUUCCAGUUGCGGGAAGAAAACCUCUUGGGACAUUUUCAGCAUAUAUUCGAGCCUCAUUCUAGCAUUGCUACACACGAAAUGGAGUAAAGGUAGAUAAUAUGGCUAGAAUUGCAAGUUUUGAAGAGGGAAUAAUAGCUCAUUCUAGCAGUUUGCACAUAGGAAUUCAAGUUUGUCAAACGGGCACGAUUGAAAAUGUGUGAUCACAUUAAACAAAGUUUACCAUUCAAGGGCACUUGUUCCUGAGUCAGGGGAAGAGGUUCUCCAUUUGCAACACGAAUUUGCCACUCCACAAGAUCUUGGCCAACAAUCAUCUCAGUUACAGGAUGUUCUACCUUCAAAAUAUUGAUAUAAGAAAUCAGGUAAAUAUUUUCUGUCGCACAACAGCAAUUUGCAUGUAAGGAUCAAGUUGCACAUGUAUAUACUAGUGCACAUGCAUACCAAAUGGAAGUUUCCCAAAACAGUGUGUACAAGAAUAAAUUUAAUCAUGCACAUAGAAAAGUAUUUUGAAUGUGAACAUUUUAAGGUAGAAAUAGCUGACAACAGUGUGCCUGAUUAGUUAAGAAAAGCAUUAAUACCUGAAGGCGAGUAUUCAUUUCCAUGAAAUAAAAUUGUCCAGAAAGCGUAUCCAUUAUAAACUCCACUGUUCUGGCAUUGUGAUAGCCGACUUCCUUCAAAUUAGUUAAAAAGAAAUAUGAAAGUGCACCGACUCUGUGAGAAAUUUGAACAUGAAAUAAAAAGAUCAAAGAGUUGAAAUAGAGAAGAGGGAAAUUGAAAAGCACCAAUUAAGUGGAAGAAAUAGCGAAGACUUGCUCUUAGGUUAAAAGCAUUCAAUCUGUGGUCAUCAGAUCUGACAGAUACACAUUUGCUUGUUUUUGUGCAUCAUGUUAAUGUAAUCAAUUUAGAUCUUAUCAACUCAUAUCCCACUUUAUCAAACUGUAUCAUAUUGAUCAUGCAAUAUAGGCUUAACUCAUGUGAAAUGCCUCUAAACCUAUAUUGUCUGUCUAAGCUAUGAUCAAAUCAGUGUUUUAUUUUGCGUCUCUACUCUCUAAUCAUAUUUGACUUGUUCCAACUGAUUCUAAUUGGUCUAGACUUGAAUUGAACCAAAUUACAAUAUGACCUGAUAACUUCAACUCUAUUUUGCGCAAACCAUAAUCUUAUGGUUCUUCAAAACAUCAUCCCAGUCCGUACAGAUGUACAAUUUGGACUCUUAUUUGAAACUAAAACCGUUUCAUUCUACACCAACAACCUUUCUAGUGAGGUAUCAUACACUGAAUUUGGAUCAGAAAUAGAUCAAUUAUGAUAAUAUUACUGACUGCUCUAUUUAAAUUUCCAGAAAACAGAAUUUAAUAUUUCACCUCACAUGACAUCUCGCAACCAACCUGCACAAGAUUGCUAUGUAAUCUGCAGGCUCGCCAAACUAGUGAAGAUUAUUACCGUGCUCUUUUUCGUGAUCCUCGAGAAUCUAAAAGCCUCUUUAGCUACUCUUCUUCCCUCCAACUUAUCUAAGCUCUAUAAGCCUCUACGUGCACACGGAAAAGGCCUUCUCUGGGAAGAGCUCACUUUGCUUCAUCUUAAAUCAAGAUGAAGAAGAACUCUUUAUUACUUGAUCUUCUCAUUGUACGUACGCUGGAAUUAAUAAACACUCUCAUCAAAAGAGGUUUUUUCUGUGGGCUCUUCUUGCUUUUGAUCGGCAGGAGUCGAGCCCGUCGAUGAUAUGGGAAAAGAUUAACCUCUAAAUCCCAUGAUGACAUAUUUACAUAAAUUCAGAUUUAGAUCUUCAAAGUGAACCCUUGAAUUCAAUUGUUCAUUUUCUAAUUAAGAAUUCAAUUGUUCAUUUUCUAAUUAAGAAUUAAUCAAAUCUUCCCACACUUCACUCAAAGAGUUGAAGGGAGAUACCACAUCAUGUAGGUGAAUUUGGACGCUUUUUGCAAGGCUCCGAGCCUGAUGCUUCCAUAUUUUUUCGCCUCAGAACUUCUAAGCAAUCUGUGCUCGAGGAAAAUUGUAAAUGAUAAUCUAGAUGCAUACAUGUGUUAUCUUGUAUGUUAUUUUGUUUUAAUGUUAAUGUAUGUAAAAGUGGAAGCAUCAAAUGAGUUGGUGCCUUCAGAAGAACCACUACUCCACAACAUUAUGUAUUUGUAGGAUGCUACUCUACAACUUUAUGUAUUUGUAGGAUACUUUGUAAUCUUAAAACUUUAUUUAUUAAGAAGAUUUAAAAAAUAUUUGAAGAAAAAUCUUUCGCAUUGUGUGUGUGGAAGGAUAAAAGCAAAUUAAUGAGGAUAAGAUGAGAUUUAGAUUUAUUAAAAAUAAAUAAAGUUUAAUUAAGAAUCCAAUUGGACUAUGAGCUCUAAUUAAACUCUACAUUGGAACCAUGUAUUAUACAUAGGAUGUGCCGCUAGAGGAGAGAAUUAAUUAAGCUGUCAAUUAAACAGGAUUUAGCAACAAGAAGAGUUGGACUAUACCAAGACGAAAAUUAUUGGUAUACCUGGCAAUCUCUAUCUGUACCUACGGGCAAUCUCUAUCUGUACCCACGGGUACUCGCUGGUUAUAUGCAAAUUUGCGAGUAUGAAUACUAGUUUUCUCUAUUUAAAAAAUUAUUGGUAAAACAGGCAGCGCAACUCACCUCGCCCUCACACACCAAUCCAUGGUGUCGGUUUCCUCGAGCAACCUCGACUUCUCCAGAAGCUUCUUCUUCUUCUUCUUCUUCUUCUUCUUCUUCUUCUUCGUAUUAUUAUUAUUAUUAGUAGUAGUAGAAUCAUUGGAUUGGGAGGGUUCGAUCUCGCCCAAGAACUCCAAUUCCCACUGGGCAGUGAGCUCCUUUUGAUCCACAACACCAUUUUCACCUACCAAAUGGGUGUUUAAUCUGCAAGAACAGAUUUUUCUACUUGGAAACUUGAUUUUGGGGUGGGGAUUAGAAAACUCAGAGGGGAAGUUUGAGAUUGAGGAGAUUUUGAUGGAUUCUGAGGGGAAAUUUAGCAGGGAAAAAGCUUGUUUUCGCCAUGAUUCGGGAGAAAUGGAGCUCCAUAUUUUGGGGUACGCGCUCAAACAAAAGAGGGGAAAAAAAGAGAGUAUGUGCGGCGUAGUCGGGGUGCAUGUGCGGCGACGCAAUCGUGAGGAUCUGGAAAGAGAAAAGGAGGGUGACGGAGGCGGACCUGAAGGAAAAUGAAAAAAAAAAAUAAAAAAAAAGAAAUAAUGUAAAUUUUAGCUAAAGAGUACAAAUUUAUUCUAAAGAGUGUAAAUUUGAUUUUUAAGAGUAUAAAUUUUAUCUCAAAAAUUAUAAUUUUUAUUUAAAAUAAUGCAAAAAAUAAUUUAAAACAGUAUAAUUUUAUUUUAACAGAGCAAUUUCAUAUUUUUCUUCUUUCUUCUAUAAAAUUUGGUUUUUAUUUUUUUUCUUUUUUUUUCUAUAUUUUUUUUUAACGUCUCUCCGCCAACGGUCACGGCGACGGCGACGACGGCGCUAAAGACCCCUCGCUCAGAGGCUGCAACGUCGCAAUGACAUUCGCGGCGUCGGUGUCGGCGGAGAGGCGUCGUCGUCGAAGGCGGCGGAGGAGGCGAAGGAGGAGGAAGAGGGAGAGGGCGAGAAAAGUUGCGCUACGCCAACAGCGCGUCGCGCAUCGACCGCCGCAUGAACGCGCCCUUCAGCCGGUGGCGCUCCCGCAGGUCAUCGGGUCCUCUGACUCGAACAGCGUCGCCAACCCGGACAGGAACCCGCGCCCGGCGCGCUCGUGGAGGGAGGCCUGGUCCGCACCCGGCGUGGUCGUGGAGGGAGGCCUGGUCCGCGCCUGACACCGCCGCCAACAGGAUGUCAUAGGCGAUGCUGAGCGGCAGAGGCGAGGAUGUCGUAGGCGAUGUCAUACGCGAAACUUCAAAUUUUUAUUUUUAUUUUAGAUUCAAAGUAUAAAUUUAACAUUAAAUUUAAAUUUUGAAAUUUUAAAUUCAUAUUUGAAUUUUUAAAUCUCAACUUUUAAAAGUUUAAAUUUUAAUUUUCAAAUUUUAAAUUUUAAAUUUAAAAUUUGAAUUUUGAAAUUAAAUUUUGAAUUUUAAAUUUUGAAUUUUAAAUUUCAAAUCUUAAAUUUUAAAAUUAAAAUUUUAAAUUUAGAUUUUAAAUUUAAAAUUCAAAAUUUAAAUUCAAAUUGAAAAAGUAAAAAUUUAAAUUUAGAUUUAAAAAUUCAAAUUUUAAAUGUAAAAUUUUGAAAUUUCAAAUUUAUUUUUUGUACAAAUUUGAAAUUUAAAAAUUAUACUUUUAAUCCAAAUUUAAAAUUUUUAAUUUAAAUUCAAAUUUUAAAUUAUUUUAAAAUAAAAUUUAGUAAAAGUAUUAAUAUAUACAAGCAUCAAAAUUUUUUUGCCAAACAGUUUUAAAAAAUUAUUUUAGAAAAAUUAUUUUUACCUAAACUCAACCAAACGCUUUACAGCUUUUUAUCAAAAUCAAUCCUCCAAAUCAAAAUCACUUAUGCAUAAAUUACUUUUUCAAAAGCUAGGCCAAAUUCUUUUCUUUUCUUUUUGGGUUUUUUUUGCAUUUGGCUCCUUUAAAAUAUUUUUUUUUACAAAUAGCCCCAUCAAAUAAAUUUGCAAAUUUGGCCCCAUCUCCGCCACGUAGGCACCACGUCAGCGCUAUGGUUUUAAGUUGAACACGGCGAAUCAUUCACCGUGUUCAAACACGGUGAAUGGUUCACCGUAUUCUAUACUUAUAUUCCUGUUUAGACACGAUGAAUGGUUUACCGUAUUCAACUUAAUAAACUAGUCCCAGCCCCGCUCACGUGGCGCUGACGUGGCGUCUGCGUGGCAAGGCUAGGCCCAUUUUUGUAAAUAUAAAUUUACUUGGGCUAUUUUUAAAACAAAUUUUGUCCAAGGGAGCAAAUGCAAAAAAAAAAAAAAAAGAGCCCUUUCUUAUUCUUUUGGAUCUGUUUUUCGCUGUCAAUUUGGCUUCAACAACACCUCACCAUCGAAAGUUCCCAGCAGGAAAGUUCCCAGCAGGAGGAGAAGGAAUUUUCACUUUGCUGGUGGUAGUCUGGUAGACCCACCGGCCACAGGAUGCUGAUGGCAAAAGUGAAGAGGGAGGCCUUUUAAUUAUUCUGCUCCCCAUUCUAUUUCUUUUCACUCUUCAACUUCAUCUCUCCGCUCUCUCUCUCUGCCUCUCUCUCUCUCCUCAAUCCCCCAAAACAUCUUUGAGAGCAUCUUUGGUUGCAGUAUUUUCACUAGUUGAAUUUGAGAUUAAUUAUUUUGGAGCAGCUCCCUCUUCAAUCCCCUUUUUGGAUCUGUGGUUAGUUGUGCAUCUUCUUCUACAUAUUCUUUUUAAUUCAUUUUUUUGUUUCAAGGGUUCCUGUUUUUAAUCCUCUUUUCUAUCAACUAGCUUUAAUUUAUUCUUGUUAAAUUAAGUUCUUAUAUUUCUAUCACUAGUAGUUUGUUGCUCAGAUGACUUAUAGUCCUGAUAUUAACUUAAAAUUGUGAACAAGAAGAGGGCUUGAAAGGAAACCCCACUUAUAAUUGUUAAUUGUAGAAUAAUUUAUAAUCACUCUUAAAACAAUUCCCUCUACUCAGUGACUAGAAGCAGAUUCAUUUGCUUUUCAACUCUUUAUUGAUUUCAUACUCCUCUAGAGGACUUUCCGAUAUCUUGCUGUACAAAUAUAUACAUUGAGGUUAUGUAGGAGUUUUGUAUGACUGGUUAUGAUGAAUCUUUUUUUCUCAAAAAUUUGUUUAAUUAACAGAUCCUGAAACAAGUUAUUGCCUUUUUGUUCUUGCAAUUCAACAACAAUUUUGUUAUUUGUGUUUCUUCUUUUUAACUGAGGAUUCUAACAAAUGUUUGUUUAGUGCAUUAAAGAGUUAUUCCGCAUGAGACAAUGACAUGAUCUUUACGAAAAUUGCCUGGAAUCAUAAAAGCGUAAAAAAAAAAAAAAAAUCAUAUUCGCAAGCAGUGCAUUUGAAGAGACAUGGUAAUUUGAAAAGAUUUUGUAUGUCAGGCUCACUUCGGCAUAAGUGUCCAUGGCGGAGGCUGUGAUAAGCUCAUUAGUCCUGAAGAUCGGUGCUACCUUAGCUAGUGAAACAACUAAAGCAGCAAUAUCAGUAUUACUAACACCGAUAUCAGCAAUGAAAGAACUCGUGGAGGAUAUAAAUGAGAUUAAGGACGAGCUUGAGAGCAUGCUAUCCUUCCGACAGAUCGCAGAAAGAUUAAAAGAGAAGGAUGAGAGCACAAAAACCUUCAUAAAACAAACAAGAGACUUGGCUUUCGACAUUGAGGAUAUUAUAGAUGAGUUCACAUACAAGCUCGGUGAAGAGCAAGGAGGGCUCCUGCCUAAAAUAGUCAAGAGGUGCAGAAAUAUAACAACUUGGCGUCGCCUUAGCAAGAGGCUUAACAAAAUCAAAAUUAAGCUCCGAAACAUUAAGGAAAGAAGGGAGCAAUAUGAUACGAGAGGAAUGGAAAAUGAAGCAAGACCUCUAAUAGCUGUUGGCGGUAGCAAAAGCCGUGCAGAAUUAGCACAUUUUGUCGAGGAGGAUGGUAUAGUGGGUAUUGACGAGUACAAGGACUUGUUGCUUGGAUGGUUAAAAGAUGAGGAUGAGCAGCAACGACAGCCCAUGAUAAUCUCAGUGUUGGGGAUGGGUGGUCUAGGGAAGACCACUCUCGUGACUCAUGUGUACAAUAUCAUCAAAGCUUUCUUUGAUGCUUGUGCCUGGGUUGCUGUAUCUCAAAGUUAUGAGACUCGUGAUUUGCUUAGACAGAUCUUAAAAGAGUUCUAUAGGGAAGAUCGUGAGAAAAGAGAAGCACCUAACAACAUUGAUACCAUGGAUUAUAGAAGCUUGGUUGAGACUAUCCGCACUUACUUGCAGUGUAAAAAGUAUGUACUCAUUCUGGAUGAUGUUUGGAGUUCUGAUGUACUGGACAAUAUAAAAGUUGCACUUCUGAAUAGUAAUAGCAAGAGUAGAAUAGUUCUCACAACAAGGAUUCACGAUGUAGCUCUAUUAGCUAACAAGCACCGUAUGUUUGAGCUAGAGCCACUAGAGGCAGAUGAUUCGUGGGAUAUGUUUUGUAAAAACGCAUUUUGGAAAAGUGCAAACAAGAUUUGCCCACCGCCUUUAGAACAAUGUGCUAAAAAAAUUGUCGAGAACUGCGGUGGCUUGCCCCUUGCUAUCGUAUCUAUAGGCCGUCUCUUAUCAUUUCGAGAACAAACCGGUUUUGAAUGGGAGAAGGUUUACAAAGAUCUUGAGUAGUAUCUAACUAACAACGAAUCGAAGCUCCAUGAAAAAGUACAUGGCAUUUUGAAACUUAGUUUGGACGAUCUUCCCCAUUACCUUCGAAAUUGCUUCUUAUAUUGUUCUAGUUUUCCAGAAGAUUAUACAAUUGAAAGUGACAAGCUCAUAUGGCUUUGGGUGGCUGAAGGGUUCAUUGAAGAAAGAGAAAGAACGAUGGAGGAAGUGGCCGAGGACUACCUUAACGAACUUGUUCAUCGCUGUCUACUACAAGUGGUACGUAGGGAUGAAGUCGGUGGAGUUCAAGAAUGUCGAAUGCAUGACGUCAUUCGAGUCCUUGCUCUUUCGGAGUCAAAGGAGUUAAGUUUCUGCAUGGUUUACGAGCAUUCACGGAAAAAAUUGCAGAGUUCCAAAGCACGCCGCUUGUCAAUCCUAAGCAAUAUAACUAAUUAUUGUACUGAAGACAAAUCUCAUUUGCGUUCUGUACUUGUUUUCCUCAAUUACAUGAGCAAUGAUUUACUGAAGUCGGUCUUAAGAUCAUCAAAAUUCUUUCGCGUCUUGGAACUAGGAGGAGUGCUAAUCGAGAAACUACCGAGUGAGAUCUGUAACCUAUUCAACCUGCAUUAUCUAGGCUUGCGAGCAACGAAAAUUAAGGAGCUUCCAAGAUCAAUCGGGAAGCUACAAAAUCUGCAAAUAUUAGAUAUAAGUGAAAGUAAAAUAGAAAAGCUGCCGAAGGGAAUAACGAGUCUCCAAAAGUUGAGACACCUAGUUUUUUCGAAAUAUGUACUCUGGGGCGUCAAGGCACCCUUGGGAAUAUGGCGCUUGAAGGGCUUGCAGACUUUAAGACCUAUUGAAGCAACUACGGAGAUUGUGCGGAAUGUAGAAGCUUUGACCGAGUUGCGGACAUUUCAGAUAACGGGUAUAAGAAACCAUCACUGUGCAGACUUGUGGAAUAGUAUCACAAAGAUGAACCAUCUUAGCAAUUUAUUUGUCGGAAGUGAUUAUGGGCAAGAAUUACAGCAGUUGGGCACCCUGCGCCUACCUCUGCCAAUUAAAGAAUUAUACAUGGGGGGUAAAUUAGACAGAAACUCACUCCCUGAGCUUGCCAUGUCCUUUGGGUCUCUAACAAACCUAACCAGAUUAAUACUUAGAUAUGCAAAAUUGGAUGAAGAUACAUUUCCUUACCUGCAAGCACUGCCCGCGUUGAUGUUUCUUGAACUUUAUGAGGCAUAUGACGGCAUGAAGUUGCACUUCCAAGCAACAUCAUUGCCGAAGCUAAAGGAAUUGUACAUAUCUGAUGCCCUGAAGCUCAAUCAGGUGGAAAUAGAAAGAGGAGCAAUGGCAAGCCUGAAUAAGCUUCAGCUAGAUGGUUGCCCCAAGCUAAAGGAGCUGCCCCACGGUAUCGAGUACCUUACCACCCUUAAGGAUUUAUACAUUUUCUAUCCAGCAGAGGAACUUGUUGAGCUGCUUCUAGGAGGAGGAAAAGGCAACCACAGCAAUGACUGGCGCACGAGGCUUCGGCACAUCCCGAAUUUUAUUAUUUGGGUCGAACGAGACGGAGACGGCGAGUUAGUCCAAGAAAGGAUUCAAUGAUUCCAUAUCAUGUUGGUGAGUUUGUGCGCUUUUUGCAAAGCACCGGCCGAGCUUGAUGCUUCCACAUUUUCCGCCUCAGAUCUUCUAAAUAAUCCGUGCAGGCUUGAGGAAAAUUGAAAAUGAUGAUCGAUAUGCAGGUGUUAUCUUAUAUGUGUAGUUUAUUUUAUUUUAUUUUCAAUGUAUAUGUAUGUAAAAGUGGAUGCAUGAAAUUAGUUGGUGCCUUCAGCUACUCGGAUAAUGUAUUUGGAGAAUGCUUUGUACCCGUAAAACUUUAUUUAUUGACUAAAAUAAAAAAACCUUCCCUUAUAAAUAUGCAUAUUUUUUUGCUUUCUAAGAUGACUAAAUUUUUUUUACUUGUUAAAAAAAAAAAAAACUUUUUUUAUGCAUUUCUAACCAUUUUUAAGGAUAUCUUCAGUAUAAAUUAUAAGAAAUGGACGGAAUAGUAGUGGCGGAACGCUGACGAAGGGCGUUUAAAUCCAUCAACUUGAAAUUUGAGAAGAUAAUAUAAUAGAUUUUUGAAAGCCCGUGGAGGAAGUGAAAAAAAUAAGUAUUUACAUAGAGUUUUCUAUAUUUUACCCUUAUUAAAAAGAUUAAAAAUAUUUUUGAAGAAAAAGCUUUCGUAUGAUGUCUGAGAGGAUAAACGCAUAUUUCAGUUCUUAACUAGGUUGAGUUAAUCCUAGAUAAAUAGGACUUGAUAUAACAAGAUAAGAAUAGAGUAAAUAGAAGAGCUAGUUUCACAAAUAUUAAUUGUUGUUUAACAGAUUAGUGAGAAAAUCUAUUGUUAAUUAGAUUUCGGUUUAAAUUUAUAGUUAUUUAUGUAGUAUACUAGUAUCCCUACACUUAGUAUAUAUAUAUAAGUGUGUGUGUGAGGGUACGUGUGUGUGUGUGUGUGAGUGCACAUGUGUGAGUAUGUGUAAUGCCAUGUGGCAUCACCUCCCCCCUCUUUUAUGCAUGCAGGGNGAUGUCUGAGAGGAUAAACGCAUAUUUCAGUUCUUAACUAGGUUGAGUUAAUCCUAGAUAAAUAGGACUUGAUAUAACAAGAUAAGAAUAGAGUAAAUAGAAGAGCUAGUUUCACAAAUAUUAAUUGUUGUUUAACAGAUUAGUGAGAAAAUCUAUUGUUAGAUUUCGGUUUAAAUUUAUAGUUAUUUAAAUUAAAGUCAAAUUUAUUUAAAAUUAAAGUCAAAUUCUACUUUAAUUAGGAUAAGAUGAGAUUUAGUUUUAUUAAAACAUAAAUAGAUUUUAAUUAAGAAUCUAAUUGGACUGUGAGCUCUAAUUAGUAUCUACAUUUGACACAGAUAGAAUUAAUUAAGCUCUCAAUUAAAUAGUAUUUAACAAAUCGGACGGAUCGAUUAUAUUGAAAUAAUGAUGACUAAUUUGUUGGCCAAUUAAUUUUAAUUGGCAUGUGCAACUCCUCUCAUCAUAUUGUUGAAACAAAAAUCAAAUUCUCUUGAACUUUUCUCAUAAACAGAUUGAUUUAAGAAAUAUAUUGAUUGUUUUUAUUUUUAAUAAACCACUGUAUCAUCUGGUGUCUAUAUUAUUAUAUCAUCUGGUGUCUAUAUUACUACAAUAUAUAAUAUAUGAUUCAUUUACUGCUAAUUGAAUUGAAUUUGAAUAUGGAUUAAUGUAGAUAUAGAUAAAAUUAUCGGGCCAAUCCUACUUUAUUUAUAGUAAUCCGAAAAAAAGAAAAGAAAAGAAAGAGUAGUUGGAAUAUGUAACGAAUCUGAUUCUUCCCUUAAUUCUGAAAAAGUUUUCUGUCAAAAGAGGAGGAUACGUUUGUUCCUAAUUAUGUGGUGUGAUUAAUUUAAUAAUUAAUUAUAACUUUAUUCUAUGACAUGAUUCAGGAUUAAUCUUAACUUAAAUUUGAAUUAUUACAAUUAUAUCAUAUACUCUGUUUGGAAUAACUAUGGUUAAUUGAUGCAUAAUUAUAUGACUAAAAGAGAUUCCAAAAUAUUUUACCCAAAGUUUUUUUUUUCCCCUUACAAAAAAUAGACUUUUUAUAUGAAGACUAAUCAAUAUUUAUAUUUUACAAGCCUAUGGGAACCUUUAUUAAAAAAAUAAAAAUAAAAAAUAAAAAAAAUUUUAGGUACCAUGGCGUGACGAGUUAAAAUGAAUAAGUUACAUAUGAUGGUAUGGCAAAUAAAUACAACAAUUCAUUCCAACAAAUUGUAUGUUGGAAAUGAAUAGUACAAUUUUGAAGGGAAAAAUAAUUAGCACAGCCCACAGCAUGAAGAGAGUCCGAGAUCCCAAGAGACAUGAGAUCAUUAUUGCAUAAGAAAGAAUCAUUUAUUCACUAUGCAUUUCUAUACAAAACAAAUAAUUAUUAAGAGAAAUAAACAUGAAAAAUUAGCAUAGUAGGAGGGGAAAAAAAGAGAGCAAGAGAAAUUAGUACAGGGUGUUGCUUUUGUUAUAAAUAAAUUAUAAGUAUGGAUCUAUAUCAAGAAAAGAAAAUAUACAACAAAUUCUAAUCACCAAGACAAGAAUUACACCUUGUGCAUGUUAAUUGAUAUACGACUAACAUGAAAAAAUUGGUUCGUAGAUGAACCCAACUUUCGAAUGUACAAAUAGUAUUGCUCAAAAAUAAAAUGGACCAGUAGAACAUUUGCAUUCGAUUGUUUGCAUAAAUUUACGAUUUCAUUUUUUUUUUUUGGUAACUUAUACCCAAUGUUUAGAAUUUCUUCCAUAUUAGCAUUCCAGUCCUAUCAAAUAAACCAAGCCCAAAGUGCACUAUAUUACAUUAAAAUCACGAACACAAAAUUCUGAAACUCAUAUAUAUCAACAACCUUAGACAAAUUCAUAUAGAACAGUACAAUUUUAGAAUACAUAACAUCAUUGAAAUAUCAAAUUCCAUCCAAAUUUCGUCGUGCACAAUUUGUUUUUUUCCUUCUAUUAUGUUUUUUCAACAUGUAUUGCGUCGAACAUAAACAAAACGAGAAACAACACGCCGAAGCAAACGAUAAAACACACUAUGUACCACCUUUCAAAUUACCCAGGAAGGUUUAAAUAAAACGAAGAACAAACAUGCCGAACCAGCAAAAGUGACACACUCCGUACCAAUUUUCGGAGUACCCAGGAGAGAAACCUUUGACGAGUUGGCUCAAAAGUUUUAUAAGUCUUUCAAGGGCAUCGUACCAUUCGAUCUAUCUCUGAGCAGUCUAUUUAUACGAUGAUUUGGACAAGCAUGAAAUGCUUCAGCGGAUCAGCUCUUCUGAUGCACAGCAAUCACAUGGAUGUCCAUCUCCUUCAGCAUGACCGAUCGGCCGCAAGAAUCGCACGGCGCCGUUCUCGACCCGCAUAUGCUCUCGUGCUCGGAGAGCCCUCUGAGGCGGUCGCGGGCAUCGAGUGGUUCAGUACCGGCUUGGACCAUGUCUCCGCAGAAACGGCACACUAUGAGCCGCAACGGGCAGGUCGAGGACUGGUGUUGGACCUACCAUCACAAAGAAGAGAGUAAAGAGUUAAUGCCCUCUACUGUAGAAGAUAAUCCAUUCUUACAAAAGCAGAUCUUUUUCAAUAGUAUGUAUAAAAUAGAACACCCUUGAUUACCAAACUAAGCAGGUGACAUUAGUAGACAUUUUCCAGUCUAAGUAGAAUUGUAAAAGUACUCCGAUUUAAUCGGGUAAUAUUAAUAUCAAAAUCUGUCUAUUAACAUUUUGGGAGUAUAUAACAUGUCAUGAGAUAGCAAACAAGGAUAUGUUUAGUGUUAGAGAAAGGUAUCUGCAGUAACAGACACAAAAUGCAUAAUAUAAUAUCAAACAUAAUUUCAAAAACAAAGAGCAUAAAUGAAAGCCAUAUAAACAAACUGAUAAAUGCAGAUGAAAAAUCUCAAUAGAUAUAUAAUAAACUACGCUUACCAUUUCUUCCUUCUCGAGGACUACUCCACAUGGGCAAUGGAGUGGCUCAUGAAAAACUUUCAUAUGCUUCUCCAUCUCCCCCUGUUGAAAGGCUUGUCCGCAUUUACCGCAAUGCACAUGAUUCGCUGCUUGCUCCUUCCUGAGAACAACUCCGCACCCCUCAUGCUGGCACACCAAAUUAUGCCUGAUGCAGUAUGCUUCAUGGAUCACAAUGGUCCUGCUGGAUAUAUAAUGCCGACAGUUCCGGCACUCGACUGAAUCGGAAUCAACUUGAGAGGAAGCAUUCAAAUGUUCUCCGACCUUUUGCCUGUUAUUGUUAAUAUCCUUAACUUCUACAGAAAUAUUGAAUUUAGUAACUCCCUUGAAGCCAAAAACUCCAAUGCUGUAGGUACCUGCUACAAGGCUUUGAUCCUUCUGUUUAAGUAUCAAAAUCUUCGAGCCCAUCUCAUGAGAUGACCAUUCAUGUCGAUGUUGGGUCGGAAAUACCAGUGGAUGCCUAGAUACAUAAAUAUUAGUAUCACCAUCACUAGUAUCUGCCUCGAUCUUGACUUCUAUAUUCAUUAGCCCAGACGAAACUUUCUCACUAACAGCCUCUUCAAUGGAAAACUUAUAGUACUUAAAUUUUCCUUCUUCCACGAUUCCCGACUCAGCCUUUCCUAAUACAAGUGGUAUGAGCACAUGCUGUUCAUUCUCCUCGUCCAAAACAGAAUCAGAUCCCUCUAUAUCGACUUCAAUAUCCGUUUCUAAAAUUGAAACACUUGCAGAAGGUUUGAGCUCGAGAACUCUUAACUUGUACUGCAGCUCUCCAUAAUAGACCGUGAUAACAUCGCCUUCUGACAGGGUCGCAUGUUUUCGAAGAGUGGUUUCGAGGAUAGCUUUAUGGUUAGGAAGGUCGGAGAAGCCCACUGCUUCGGGCUUAAGCUUAGCAUAAGUUCCUUUUGGCAAGCUGGCAUAGCGCACCUCAAUUAAAGGAACUUCAGCGUUGGUAUCAUGGAAUAAAUUUGUCCAGACAUGCG
rnacentral:lncRNA from 1 species